UUAUAUAUAUAUAUCAACUUUCAUUAUAUAUAUAUCAAGUUUCAUUAUAUAUAUAUCGACUUUCAUUAUAUAUAUAUAUCAACUUUCAUUAUAUAUAUAUCAAAUCUUUUUUUCCUACCGAGCCCCGGAAGGGACAUGUCCGUAUGGCGAAGCGACAACGAAGGACACUCACCCGGACGAGAAUUUUAUUGAGUUUUAUUUUAAAAUCGGCCUGAAACACACAGACAUUCAAGCAGUGCGAUGCGCUAAGAGUCUGCCAUGCAGACCAGCGAUCCUGAUAAUGUUGUCGGCCUUGGAUGAUGAGGUCCAGUUACCAGGAGCACUAGUCUGCAGCUUACUGGUUCCGUCCUGCAGCUCCUCCACGCUGUCCUCCUCUCUACAGACCAAAUCAAGAAAAGGGAACCAGGAAGCUGCUGUGGAUCCUCUGCAGUAUCUGGAGAGGUCAGAGGAACGGUUCUUGGAACAGAUCGGAAGACACCAAGACGUGACCUCUGCCAUGCUCCAGAACAUCCAGAAGAUGAAUGAAAACCUUGGUUGCACUGAUGGGACGCAUGGUGUCGGUGCUGGAGCAACUGUCCCAGAAUUAAACUGCAUUGUUGACUAUUGGCUUUUCUAGAAAAUAAAUCUUUUUUAGUACUUCA